rnacentral:rRNA from 1 species
UACGUAGGGGGCCAGCGUUGUCCGGAUUUACUGGGCGUAAAGCGCGCGUAGGCGGAAGCUUAAGUCUGGCCUGAAAGCCCCCGGCUCAACCGGGGAGGGCGGCUGGAAACUGGGCUUCUUGAGGGCGAGAGAGGGGUGUGGAAUUCCUGGUGUAGCGGUGAAAUGCGUAGAGAUCAGGAGGAACACCCGUGGCGAAGGCGGCACCCUGGCUCGACCCUGACGCUGAGGCGCGAAAGCGUGGGGAGCGAACGGGAUUAGAUACCCCC